rnacentral:rRNA from 1 species
UGACGUCAAGUCAUCAUGGCCCUUACGGCCUGGGCUACACACGUGCUACAAUGGUCGGUACAAAGGGUUGCCAAGCCGCGAGGUGGAGCUAAUACCCAUAAAACCGAUCGUAGUCCGGAUCGCAGUCUGCAACUCGACUGCGUGAAGUCGGAAUCGCUAGUAAUCGUGAAUCAGAAUGUCACGGUGAAUACGUUCCCGGGCCGUC